rnacentral:rRNA from 1 species
UACGUAGGGUGCAAGCGUUAAUCGGAAUACUGGGCGUAAAGCGUGCGCAGGCGGUGAUGUAAGACAGGUGUGAAAUCCCCGGGCUUUAACCUGGGAACUGCAUUUGUGACUGCAUCGCUGGAGUGCGGCAGAGGGGGAUGGAAUUCCGCGUGUAGCAGUGAAAUGCGUAGAUAUGCGGAGGAACACCGAUGGCGAAGGCAAUCCCCCUGGGCCUGCACUGACGCUCAUGCACGAAAGCGUGGGGAGCAAACAGG